rnacentral:misc_RNA from 1 species
CGUGGUACUAGUUAGCUUUAUCUUAGUAAAACAGUUACCAUUCACUGCCACCAAAAAUGCCACACAAGGAGCAUAAAAAGUACAGGGUUCAGCGUGAGGACCUGCCAGCAAUGCCUCACUUCAGCGAUUUCAACGACCCGCGCUUCUGUGGGACAACCAACAAGCAGAAGAACGGCAUUCUGGCCUACUACCAGUGGCUGCAUUGCAUCGGCAACUGGGGUGAGGAACACUCCAUGUGCAAGAAGAUGCGUUGGUAUGUCGAGCGCAUGAUGCACGAGACGUGGCUGGAGAAGUGGGAGGAGAAGCGUGCUCUCGGCCACUUUGACCACACCGUUCUCUACGGUGUGAAGCCGUGGAAGGAGUUCGAGCCGCUGUACCAGCCGGUGAAGAAAAACCGCAAAGGUGCGUAUGAAUACUGGCUAGACCGCGACUUUGAGCCUCUGUACGAUGUCGAUGCGUCGGACUGGCGCGAGAAGGCGCCGAUCCUUCACGACAUGUUCGUGCUGGGCAAGAAACCCGUGUCCGAGUAAGCACUGACCAUGGAGCUUUUAGGGCGCAUAGUGUGUUUCUGUUUUCAACUACAAGAAGUCAAGUGCGAAUUGAUCUGUCUCUUAGCUUUUUUUCUUUCCGCGGACUGAAAUUUUAUCAAAAUCAGCGUAGGAGGUUUUUCAUUAAAGCAUCGAGAAGGAGUGGCUUUCCUUUUUCUCAAUGAUUAGUCGAAGUGAUUUCUUUGAUGUUUUGCCGUUUUCUUGGUGUUCUAGUCAAGCAUGAAAAAAAAAGGAUUUUGAUCCAAAGCGCUUAUCGCAUAUCAAGGGGGAGAGAGCCACAACCCUCGUGAGUGAGCGAAACUGUUUCUGCUCGAAGUUAGUACAGCACCUAAAUCUGCACGAGAAGCAUCUCAAUCCUCUCGGUAGCGGCGGAAAUAAAACUUUUUUUUUGAUUCGGGUUUACUACUCAUGGGAAUGAACAACACGUGGCAAGUGCGUGUUUCUGUCUCUAAAUAUAUUUGCUUUCCGCUUGCUUUGGCUUUCUCUCUUGUGCUUUCGCACUCUGAUUUGCCGUAAAACAACAAUCAUGACGCCAUCCAAACACAACACGGCGCUCAAAAAUCGCUUUCUGUUUUAUCUAG